AGAGUUUGAUCCUGGCUCAGGAUGAACGCUGGCGGCGUGCUUAACACAUGCAAGUCGAACGAACCUUCGGGUUAGUGGCGGACGGGUGAGUAACGCGUGAGAAUCUGCCCUCAGGAGGGGGAUAACGGUUGGAAACGACCGCUAAUACCCCAUAUGCCUACUGGUGAAACGAAUUUCGCCUGAGGAUGAGCUCGCGUCUGAUUAGCUAGUUGGUGAGGUAAUGGCUCACCAAGGCUUCGAUCAGUAGCUGGUCUGAGAGGAUGAUCAGCCACACUGGGACUGAGACACGGCCCAGACUCCUACGGGAGGCAGCAGUGGGGAAUUUUCCGCAAUGGGCGAAAGCCUGACGGAGCAACGCCGCGUGAGGGACGAAGGCCUCUGGGCUGUAAACCUCUUUUCUCAAGGAAGAAGAUAUGACGGUACUUGAGGAAUAAGCCACGGCUAAUUCCGUGCCAGCAGCCGCGGUAAUACGGGAGUGGCAAGCGUUAUCCGGAAUUAUUGGGCGUAAAGCGUCCGCAGGCGGCUUUUCAAGUCUGCUGUUAAAACGUGGAGCUUAACUCCAUCAUGGCAGUGGAAACUGAAAGGCUUGAGUAUGGUAGGGGCAGAGGGAAUUCCCGGUGUAGCGGUGAAAUGCGUAGAUAUCGGGAAGAACACCAGUGGCGAAGGCGCUCUGCUGGGCCAUUACUGACGCUCAUGGACGAAAGCCAGGGGAGCGAAAGGGAUUAGAUACCCCUGUAGUCCUGGCCGUAAACGAUGAACACUAGGUGUCGGGGGAAUCGACCCCUUCGGUGUCGUAGCUAACGCGUUAAGUGUUCCGCCUGGGGAGUACGCACGCAAGUGUGAAACUCAAAGGAAUUGACGGGGGCCCGCACAAGCGGUGGAGUAUGUGGUUUAAUUCGAUGCAACGCGAAGAACCUUACCAGGGUUUGACAUCCUGCGAACCUCUUAGAAAUUUGAGGGUGCCUUCGGGAAUGCAGUGACAGGUGGUGCAUGGCUGUCGUCAGCUCGUGUCGUGAGAUGUUGGGUUAAGUCCCGCAACGAGCGCAACCCACGUUUUUAGUUGCCAGCAUUUAGUUGGGCACUCUAGAAAGACCGCCGGUGAUAAACCGGAGGAAGGUGUGGGUGACGUCAAGUCAUCAUGCCCCUUACACCCUGGGCUACACACGUACUACAAUGCUACGGACAAAGGGCAGCAAACUCGCGAGAGCUAGCAAAUCCCAUAAACCGUGGCUCAGUUCAGAUCGUAGGCUGCAACUCGCCUACGUGAAGUAGGAAUCGCUAGUAAUCGCAGGUCAGCAUACUGCGGUGAAUACGUUCCCGGGCCUUGUACACACCGCCCGUCACACCAUGGAAGUUGGCCAUGCCCGAAGUCGUUACUCCAACCCUUGUGGAGGAGGACGCCGAAGGUGGGGCUAAUGACUGGGGUGAAGUCGUAACAAGGUAACC
rnacentral:rRNA from 1 species